rnacentral:rRNA from 1 species
AGAGUUUGAUCAUGGCUCAGGAUCAACGCUGGCGGCGUGCCUAACACAUGCAAGUCGAACGUCUCCCUCUUCGGAGGGAGGAGUGGCGGACGGGUGAGUAACACGUGGGUACCUAUCCUGCAGUGAGGAAUACCGGCGAGAAAUCGCCGACAAGACCGCAUGAGCUUGUCGCAAGGCAAGCAAAGCCUCGCAAGAGGCGC